UACGUAGGGGCAAGCGUUGUCCGGAAUCACUGGGCGUAAAGCGCAUGUAGGCGGGAUAUUAAGUCAGGUGUGAAAACUACAGGCUCAACCUGUAGAUUGCAUUUGAAACUGGUAUUCUUGAGUAUUGGAGAGGAAAGUGGAAUUCCUAGUGUAGCGGUGAAAUGCGUAGAUAUUAGGAGGAACACCAGUGGAGAAGGCGACUUUCUGGCCAAAACUGACGCUGAGAUGCGAAAGCGUGGGGAGCAAACAGGAUUAGAUACCCU
rnacentral:rRNA from 1 species